UUUCGCAAUGCCCGAAAGGGUGACGAAGCGACGCCGCGUGGGUGAGGAAGGCCUUCGGGUUGUAAAGCCCUGUCAGGAGUUAAGAAAUGUAAGUGCGCUAAUAUCGCAUUUAUUUGACGAAGGCUCCAAAGGAAGCCACGGCUAACUCUGUGCCAGCAGCCGCGGUAAUACAGAGGUGGCAAGCGUUGUUCGGAAUUAUUGGGCGUAAAGAGCACGUAGGUGGGUUUGUAAGUCAGAUGUGAAAGCCUUCUGUUCAACGGAAGAAUUGCAUCUGAAACUGCGAGUCUUGAGUGUAGGAGGGGAGAAUGGAACUUCUGGUGGAGCGGUGAAAUGCGUAGAUAUCAGAAGGAACGCCGGCGGCGAAAGCGAUUCUCUGGCCUAUUACUGACACUCAGUGUGCGAAAGCUAGGGGAGCAAACGGGAUUAGAUACCCCGGUAGUCCUAGCCGUAAACGAUGGGCACUAAGUAGAGGGGUU
rnacentral:rRNA from 1 species